rnacentral:rRNA from 1 species
GAGACCCGUGGAAGACCACCACGUUGAUAGGCUGGGUGUGGAAGUGCGGCAACGCACGUAGCUUACCAGUACUAAUUGGUCCAUUGGCUUUCAGCC